CGUGUAGGCGGUUUUACAGGUCCGCUGUGAAAACUCGAGGCUCAACCUCGAGCUGUCGGUGGAAACCGUAAGGCUAGAGUCCGGAAGAGGAGAGUGGAAUUCCUGGUGUAGCGGUGAAAUGCGCAGAUAUCAGGAAGAACACCCGUGGCGAAGGCGGCUCUCUGGGACGGUACUGACGCUGAGACGCGAAAGCGUGGGGAGCGAACA
rnacentral:rRNA from 1 species